AGGGGUGUGGCGCAACUGGCAGCGCAGCGGCCUCCAAAUCCGAAGGUUGCAGGUUCGAGUCCUGUCACCCCUGC
rnacentral:tRNA from 2 species